CCGGCCCACUACCAACCUAUUCCGAGAUACAAAGUACAAAACCUAAAACGAACCGAAUUCUUCACGAAUGUUCUAUCAAUAACAAUCCCUAAAUUUCUUCUUGUUCUUCCCCAAUUUAAUUUCACGUACUCUACAAAAUCAGCUUCAUUUCAUCCUCUUCAAAAUCUAAGAGAGAGAAAUCGCAGAAAAAAGAGCAACGAAACAAUGUCACACUUCGGAAGAGCAGGUCCUCCUGACAUCGCCGACACUUACUCUCUCCUCGUUCUUAAUAUCACUUUCCGAACUACACCGGAUGAUUUGUUUCCGUUGUUUGAUAAGUAUGGCAAGGUUGUCGAUAUUUUCAUCCCUCGAGACCGAAGGACUGGUGAAUCUCGUGGUUUUGCCUUUGUUCGAUACAAAUAUGCCGAUGAGGCACAGAAGGCUGUUGAUAGGCUUGAUGGAAGGGUGGUAGAUGGUAGAGAAAUAGCUGUCCAAUUCGCGAAAUAUGGUCCGAAUGCAGAGAAAAUUCAGAAAGGAAGGAUUGUGGAGUCUGUUGCCAAGGUCAAAAGCCCAAGAAGGAGGUAUCGAGAUGAUCACUACAGAGAUUCCAGAAGAAGAAGUCGUAGUAGAAGCUUGGAUAGGUAUGAUCGUGACAGGUAUCGUGGAAGGGACAGAGAUUACCGCAGGCGGAGUAGGAGUCGCAGUUAUAGUCCUGAACACUAUAGAGGUCGGGGGAGAGACCGUUACGAUGAUAGAAGAAGCUAUAGGAGCAGAUCAGCUGAAAGUGCCUCUCCGAGACGAAGUCCGAGUCCGCAUAGAAGUAUAUCACCACGUCGGAGUGCUUCACCUCGUAGUCCAUCUCGUUCUAGGAGUCGUAGCCCAGAGAAGCGCGGCCUCGAUGAACGUGCACCAAUUCCUCAUCGUUUGGCUUCUCCCCAGGCAGUUUCUCCGCGUGGGGAAGCUGGAAUCUCUCGUAGCCCCUCACCUCGAAAAUCACUUGAGGCGUGAAGUCAGCACACUAUUGGAGCGGUGACAUAGUGCGGAUGAACAUCUAUCAGGAUCAUAUGAUAAUGUAAAAUGACUGAGUCUGUGCAUUAGUAGCUUGGAAUAUUGAGUUAGACUUUUGGAUAGGGAUGAUACUUUAUUCGCUAUGCUGUAUUUGCACGCUGCGCUGUUGAUUUGCUUCAAUAAUUUUUGGACCAUCCUGACGGUAGAUGUGAGUCUGUGCGCUAGCUAUUCGGAGACGUAACUAUGUUUACAUUGAGAAGAAUGAGGAAGCUUGAUAUGAUGAAUGAUGUGAUGUUGGUGUUGCUGAUGGUGUUUGUGAUUGUUUGAUGGCUGAUACCUUUCUUUAUACUGGUAGCGAACAUUGAUAUACCGGCUGAUGAGCUGAUCUUUAUUGACUGCUGUUUUAUGACCAUUAUGAUGGGAAAGCCGGUGUCAUUGCAACUUGACCUUAUCGGUUUUGAAAAGCCUGCUAGUUGGUGAGAUUUAUAGACCGUUUCAUCUUUAGAUAUGAUUUGAUGAUGUUUACUCGUCAUAUUAUGGGAAAGAAGACUGAACGAGAUGAAUGAAUACGUAUGUACUGUGCUGUUCGAUCUCUUGCUGCAAAUGGUUGCACUUGUUGUGCUGCUGAUUAGGAAUGUGAAUGAAACAUUAUAAGCGAGCAAUGCAUCCACAACGGCUGGAUGUGCUCAUGGCUCGUGAUUGUGGCUGUUGUCCUGUGGAGCAGUGGUCCCUGAGCUCUGUUCUGUAGUUUGAUGUUACCAUGUUGAUUGGUCGUAGCUUGGGCUGGUAAGCUUUAAGUUGGCUGUUGCUGCCCAGUAGUUGGGGUCGGGUCGGGCUUUUUGAAGUUUAUCCGGUGGCUGUUUUGACCCUCAUGUUGCUGUUACGGGUUUGUGAAUCUGAUCGCCAUGAUAACUGUUUUAUUGUGAGAUUGCCUCUGUUUUAUAUAUAUUUUCUUCUCUUUAGAAUUAUCAAAUUGUGUGUCGCGAAUAACAACUGUUUGACGCUGCAAUGAAGUAAUCUUUUAUGCAUAUGAUCGCGUUAUUAGCUGA